rnacentral:rRNA from 1 species
GCCAGCUAACGCAUUAAGCACUCCGCCUGGGGAGUACGGUCGCAAGACUGAAACUCAAAGGAAUUGACGGGGGCCCGCACAAGCGGUGGAGCAUGUGGUUUAAUUCGAAGCAACGCGAAGAACCUUACCAGGUCUUGACAUCCUCUGACAACUCUAGAGAUAGAGCGUUCCCCUUCGGGGGACAGAGUGACAGGUGGUGCAUGGUGUCGUCAGCUCGUGUCGUGAGAUGUUGGGUUAAGUCCCGCAACGAGCGCAACCCUUGAUCUUAGUUGCCAGCAUUUAGUUGGGCACUCUAAGGUGACCGCCGGUGACAAACCGGAGGAAGGUGGGGAUGACGUCAAAUCAUCAUGCCCCUUAUGACCUGGGCUACACACGUGCUACAAUGGAUGGUACAAAGGGCUGCAAGACCGCGAGGUCAAGCCAAUCCCAUAAAACCAUUCUCAGUUCGGAUUGUAGGCUGCAACUCGCCUACAUGAAGCGGAAUCGCUAGUAAUCGCGGAUCAGCAUGCCGCGGUGAAUACGUUCCC